rnacentral:rRNA from 1 species
AGGAGAGAUGGCUUAAAGGGAUACGAGGGCUUCUUCCACGUAUUCGCUCCAGGAUGGGACUGCGACCGAUCAGGCUGUUGGCGGGGUAAUGGCCCACCAAACCUGUAACCGGUACGGGCCUUGAGAGAGGUGGCCCGGAGAUGGACACUGAGAGAAGGGUCCAGGUCCUACGGGGCGCAGCAGGCGCGAAACCUUCGCAAUGCGCGAAAGCGUGAUGAGGUUAAUCCGAGUGACUCCCGCUGAGGGGGUCUUUUGUCAGCUGUAAAUAGGCAGGCGAAUAAGGGGAGGGCAAGCCUGGUGUCAGCCGCCGCGGUAAUACCAGCUCCUCGAGUGGUCGGGACGAUUAUUGGGCCUAAAGCAUCCGUAGCCGGUUCCGUAGGUCUUCUGUUAAAUCCAACCGCUUAACGGUUGACCUGCAGAGGAUACCGCGGGACUAGGAGGCGGGAGAGGCGGACAGUACUCCGCGUGUAGGGGUAAAAUCCUUUGAUCCGCGGAAGACCACCAGUGGCGAAGGCGGUCCGCCAGAACGCGCUCGACGGUGAGGGAUGAAAGCUGGGGGAGCGAACCGGAUUAGAUACCCGGGUAGUCCCAGCCGUAAACGAUGCUAGCUAGAUGAUUCAUUCGCAAGUCGCGAAUGAAGUGUCGCAGGGAAGCCGUUA